GAUGCCACGUGCUGACGAGCCAUUUUCCAGGGUGUCUCGACGAAGCAGCCUCCCAGCAUUUCUUUGCAAAUCAUGGGAGAAUUCGAUUCGUCUGAGGCGUGCAGUGAAGUCGAACGCCAUUUUCGUUUGAUUUUGAAACGAACAAGACGAAACAAGUUAUAAUAAAACACAAAAAUGUAAGCUCUUUCGUCACGAGUUUUUCUCGACACACACUUUAGGAUGGGCACAGUUUCUUUCCCAUAUUCAUAACAUGGCAGUGCAUGCUGCAGAAUAAUUGUAUUGUGGGUUUCGUUUGUUGGUCACAAAAGUGGCCAAACAUGUGGCAAGUCUGGUGCGGGGAAUAAAAACAUACGUUACAGAAGAUCGCACUCAUUAUUGCAGCAAUGGCCACACGAUGUGAACAACUGUGAUGAAUAAUCGUUGUUGUCAGUUUUCAGCAUAAAGGAUUUUUUUUUAUUCAAAUGCUUUCACCAAGAAAACUUUAAAUUAAUCCUAGGACGAUCCAAUUCCAAAUCUGACUGUUCACACCCCCCUUCUCUCUUGUGUCUGAAUUAGAUGACGCUGUCCCACAACUUUGUGAGGUUCAAACUCCACAUUACGUACAUUUUAGGCAAUUAACUCAUUGAAGACACCGUGCGAGAGGUGUCGAGAAAAAAAGCCGGGCCAACUGUGAAACCGAGUGUCGUGACGAUAUAACCUUUUUUUUUUCCUUUAUACAACUCUCAAAAGACCCAAAAGUUUUUCCCGACAUUUUUUUCCCCUUUCGUCGUCAGAAAAGCCAGGCAAGAUUAUUACAUACUUUAGAGAAAAAAAAAGAAGAGCGCCACACUGAAAGUUCUUGGCACUGAUGGAUAGUUCAGGAGUUAGGAAUAUGGUAGCUAUUGCGCAAUAUUAAACGUAUGUAAUACAUGCCGGACUUGAUGAUGUCACGAACGUAUAAGCGUCUGAAUACUUUAUAAGUUCCUUGCUUCCUUUGCCAACUGCUCUUCCCUAGAAACCACCAUCGCAACGAAAUAUCAACGUUCUCGUGACCAAUACAAGCGAUCAAUGAUCAUUCUAAAUCAAACUGACUGAUAAUAACUUCCAAGCAAGAGAAAUCGAAUGCAACCGCCAAUCCGCUAAUUCUAGGAUGCAUUAAUAUUUCAAGUUUCUAAGAAUCGUCAGAAAUGGUUAAGUUGUCUUUAAUCCUUACUAAAAGGAUCAGGAGCACACGGAUUUUGUGAUGAUUCAAACAGAAAUAGUGUAUUUUCAUACGUGAUUCGUCUUUCACUGCCACCUAGGGGUAGAAAACGAAAUAAAGAAGA